rnacentral:rRNA from 1 species
UUCUGGUUGAUCCCGCCGGACCUGACUGCUAUCGGAUUGAUACUAAGCCAUGCGAGUCUUUGCAGUAAUGCAAGGCGGACUGCUCAGUAACACGUAGUCAACUUAACCUAUGGAUGGGUAUAACCUCGGGAAACUGAGAAUAAUUCCCAAUAGAUCAUUUAUCCUGGAAUGGUUAGUGAUUGAAAUGAUUCGUCGCCAUAGGAUAGGACUGCGGCCUAUCAGCUUGUUGGUGAGGUAAAGGCCCACCAAGGCUGUUACAGGUACGGGCUCUGAGAGGAGAAGCCCGGAGAUGGGUACUGAGACACGGACCCAGGCCCUAUGGGGCGCAGCAGGCGAGAAAACUUUGCAAUGUGCGAAAGCACGACAAGGUUAAUCCGAGUGAUUUCUGCUAAAGAAAUCUUUUGCCAGUUCUAAAAAUACUGGUGAAUAAGGGGUGGGCAAGUUCUGGUGCCAGCAGCCGCGGUGAU